AUUGAACGCUGGCGGCAUGCUUUACACAUGCAAGUCGAACGGAUCUAGGGGCUUGCUCCUAGGUUAGUGGCGAACGGGUGAGUAAUGCAUCGGAACGUACCGUGUAGUGGGGGAUAACCCGGCGAAAGUCGGAUUAAUACCGCAUACGAUCUACGGAUGAAAGCGGGGGAUCGCAAGACCUCGCGCUAUACGAGCGGCCGAUGUCGGAUUAGCUAGUUGGUAGGGUAAAGGCCUACCAAGGCAACGAUCCGUAGCGGGUCUGAGAGGAUGAUCCGCCACACUGGGACUGAGACACGGCCCAGACUCCUACGGGAGGCAGCAGUCGGGAAUUUUGGACAAUGGACG
rnacentral:rRNA from 1 species